rnacentral:lncRNA from 1 species
CUACAUUUUAUUUAUAUAAUUUAAGAUACAUUAACCACAUUGUUUGUAACAAUUGGUGACUUACAUUUCAGAUGUGCCAUAUAAGCAGUCAUCAUCAGUAGCUGUAGCUGGGGCUGUAAUAGGCGCAGUACUUUCUCUCUUUAUUAUUACCAUCUUUAUAAUAGUGUUACUGACUCCCAGAAAAAAGCGAUCAUCUUAUUUGGACAAAAUGAUUGAUCUUCCACCAACACACAAGUCUACAUCUUCCUAUGAGAAAAGAAAUAUUUCUCGUUCUCAGAAAGAAAUAAUCAAUGCAGACUAUGUGCAGGCGACAAGCUCGUUGAAGAGAGCCGGUUGGCUCAAUGAAAACCGGGGCCGAAAGGAAAAGAUACAGGAGUUGCAUGCCUUUUCAGUAGGUAGGUUUGCUUCUAAAGCAAAUGUUAUCAAAGUAAUAUUUUGCAUCAAUAUCCUAUUUGAAGUUU